AUUUCUACGGAUUAAUUCAAUGGCAGCUCACUUUCUCCUUUUAUGAUCGGAUGGGUCCGAAAGUGAGGAAAAAGACAAUUGUCUACAAAGAAAGAGGCUGCCAAGUGGAGACAGAAAAGCAGUUAUGAGACUGAUGAUAGAUUCCAAUUUGUUAUCGUACACGGGUGCUCUAGAUUUUCCUAUCAAUAGAGGGCGUCCUCGAGUCAUUGCAAAUCCUGGUGUCGUUAAACGGAACUGUUCUUCAGAGGAAAAACUUCAUCUCUAUAAGAAAGGAAGGAGGAGACCUGAACAGUACAUCCGGAGAAUCCAGCAAAGCAUACUACGGCAUGAACGUGCAAGUGGACAGAAUUAAAACACAUGCCAGAAACACUAA
rnacentral:lncRNA from 1 species